rnacentral:rRNA from 1 species
AUGAACGCUAGCUACAGGCUUAACACAUGCAAGUCGAGGGGCAGCAUGAACUUAGCUUGCUAAGUUUGAUGGCGACCGGCGCACGGGUGAGUAACACGUAUCCAACCUGCCGAUGACUCGGGGAUAGCCUUUCGAAAGAAAGAUUAAUACCCGAUGGCAUAGUUCUUCCGCAUGGUAGAACUAUUAAAGAAUUUCGGUCAUCGAUGGGGAUGCGUUCCAUUAGGUUGUUGGCGGGGUAACGGCCCACCAAGCCUUCGAUGGAUAGGGGUUCUGAGAGGAAGGUCCCCCACAUUGGAACUGAGACACGGUCCAAACUCCUACGGGAGGCAGCAGUGAGGAAUAUUGGUCAAUGGACGAGAGUCUGAACCAGCCAAGUAGCGUGAAGGAUGACUGCCCUAUGGGUUGUAAACUUCUUUUAUACGGGAAUAAAGUGAGGCACGCGUGCCUUUUUGUAUGUACCGUAUGAAUAAGGAUCGGCUAACUCCGUGCCAGCAGCCGCGGUAAUACGGAGGAUCCGAGCGUUAUCCGGAUUUAUUGGGUUUAAAGGGAGCGUAGGCGGACGCUUAAGUCAGUUGUGAAAGUUUGCGGCUCAACCGUAAAAUUGCAGUUGAUACUGGGUGUCUUGAGUACAGUAGAGGCAGGCGGAAUUCGUGGUGUAGCGGUGAAAUGCUUAGAUAUCACGAAGAACUCCGAUUGCGAAGGCAGCCUGCUGGACUGUAACUGACGCUGAUGCUCGAAAGUGUGGGUAUCAAACAGGAUUAGAUACCCUGGUAGUCCACACAGUAAACGAUGAAUACUCGCUGUUUGCGAUAUACGGUAAGCGGCCAAGCGAAAGCGUUAAGUAUUCCACCUGGGGAGUACGCCGGCAACGGUGAAACUCAAAGGAAUUGACGGGGGCCCGCACAAGCGGAGGAACAUGUGGUUUAAUUCGAUGAUACGCGAGGAACCUUACCCGGGCUCAAACGCACGACGGCGGCACGUGAAAGCGUGCUUACCUACGGGACGUUGUGCGAGGUGCUGCAUGGUUGUCGUCAGCUCGUGCCGUGAGGUGUCGGCUUAAGUGCCAUAACGAGCGCAACCCUUAUCGAUAGUUACCAUCAGGUUAUGCUGGGGACUCUGUCGAGACUGCCGUCGUAAGAUGUGAGGAAGGUGGGGAUGACGUCAAAUCAGCACGGCCCUUACGUCCGGGGCUACACACGUGUUACAAUGGGGGGUACAGAAGGCAGCUACACGGCGACGUGAUGCUAAUCCCGAAAGCCUCUCUCAGUUCGGAUUGGAGUCUGCAACCCGACUCCAUGAAGCUGGAUUCGCUAGUAAUCGCGCAUCAGCCACGGCGCGGUGAAUACGUUCCCGGGCCUUGUACACACCGCCCGUCAAGCCAUGAAAGCCGGGGGUACCUGAAGUGCGUAACCGCAAGGAGCGCCCUAGGGUAAAACUGGUGAUUGGGGCU